CGGUGCAUUGUGGGAAAGCGUCCAGUGUGGCCUUUGUUUCCGGACCUGGAGCCGCGCUGAGUCUCCUCCGGCGCUUCCGCUGCGCCGUGGUCCUGGGUGCCCUGAAGCACUCCCACUCCCUCCCUCGGUUGUAGCCCGGUGCGGGCGCCGAGCCGACGCCGCCAGCAUGUCUGGGGUGCGCGCUGUGCGGAUCAGCAUCGAGUCGGCCUGCGAGAAGCAGGUCCAGGAGGUGGGCCUGGAUGGCACCGAGACGUACCUGCAGCCUCUGUCCAUGUCUCAGAACCUGGCGCGCCUGGCCCAGCGGAUCGACUUCAGCCAGGGCUCCGGCUCCGAGGAGGAGGAGGCAGCGGGCGCCGAGGGCGACGCGCAGGAUUGGGCGGGCGCGGGGUCCAGUGCUGACCAGGACGACGAGGAAGGAUUGGUGAAAUUUCAACCCUCCCUUUGGCCUUGGGAUUCAGUGAGGAACAAUUUGAGAAGUGCCCUGACAGAGAUGUGUGUUCUCUAUGAUGUUCUCAGUAUUGUUAGGGAUAAAAAAUUUAUGACUCUUGAUCCUGUCUCUCAGGAUGCACUUCCUCCAAAACAGAAUCCUCAGACGUUGCAGUUAAUAUCUAAAAAGAAGUCACUUGCUGGAGCAGCACAGAUCCUACUGAAGGGGGCAGAGAGACUGACAAAAUCAGUCACUGAAAACCAAGAAAAUAAGCUACAAAGAGACUUCAACUCUGAGCUUUUGAGAUUGAGGCAACACUGGAAGCUUAGAAAAGUUGGAGAUAAAAUUCUUGGAGAUCUGAGCUACAGAAGUGCAGGGUCUCUGUUUCCCCAUCAUGGUACAUUUGAAGUAAUAAAGAAUACAGAUAUUGAUCUAGACAAGAAGAUACCUGAAGAUUACUGUCCCCUUGAUGUCCAGAUUCCUAGUGAUUUAGAAGGGUCUGCAUAUAUCAGGGUUUCAAUUCAAAAACAGGCUCCAGACAUAGGUGACCUCGGCACAGUUAACCUCUUCAAACGACCUUUGCCUAAAUCCAAACCAGGUUCCCCACAUUGGCAGACAAAAUUAGAAGCAGCACAGAAUGUUCUCUUAUGUAAAGAAAUUUUUGCACAGCUCUCCCGGGAAGCUGUUCAAAUUAAAUCACAGAUCCCUCACAUUGUGGUGAAAAAUCAGAUUAUCUCUCAGCCCUUCCCAAGCUUGCAGUUAUCUAUUUCUUUGUGCCAUUCUUCAAAUGAUAAGAAAUCCCCAAAAUCUGCUACCGAGAAGCAAAGUCCAGAGGACCAUCUUUAUGUUCUAGAGCAUAAUUUGCAUCUACUGAUUAGAGAGUUUCAUAAACAGACAUUGAGUUCCAUUAUGAUGCCACAUCCAGCAAGUGCACCUUUCGGCCACAAGAGAAUGAGACUUUCUGGUCCUCAAGCUUUUGAUAAAAAUGAAAUUAAUUCAAUACAGUCAAGUGAAGGGCUUCUGGAAAAAAUAAUUAAACAAGCAAAGCAUAUAUUUCUGAGGAGUAGGACUGCUGCAACCAUUGACAGCUUAGCAAGUCGCAUUGAAGAUCCUCAGAUACAGGCUCAUUGGUCAAAUAUUAAUGAUGUUUAUGAAUCUAGUGUGAAAGUCUUAAUCACAUCACAAGGCUAUGAACAGAUAUGCAAGUCCAUUCAGCUGCAGUUGAAUAUUGGAGUUGAGCAGAUCCGGGUCGUGCACAGAGAUGGGAGGGUGAUCACACUGUCUCAUGAGGGCCAGGAGCUUCAGGACUUCCUUCUGUCCCAGAUGUCACAGCAUCAGGUGCACGCAGUUCAGCAGCUAGCCAAGGUUAUGGGCUGGCAGGUCCUGAGCUUCAGUAAUCACGUGGGACUGGGGCCUGUAGAGAGCAUUGGCAAUGCCUCUGCCAUAACCGUGGCCUCCCCAAACGGUGACUAUGCUAUCUCAGGUCUCUGCAUUUUCCCAGGAAAAGUACUAAUGGAUUAAUGGAAUACAUUUUGCAAAGAACAGAUAACAUGAAUUUAGAAAUAGUGCCCCAGCCCUAAACUGUGUCUGAAGAACUUCCCUUAAUAAGAAAUUUGGGCUUAUGGGCCUUUUGGUGCCACUAAAAAUAAUCUUAAAAGGACCAGUCUUGGAGUAGAACGGAUGAGAAUAUGUGCAUAAUUACCACCCACUCACGUAUACUUUGUCGGAAUGGACAGGGGUGAUCAAAGGCCUUCCUUGCCCCAUUGUUCUAAGGCACGUUCAGAGAUCAGUCACUUCCUGUCUGAGAGGAGUGGAAGCUAAGGUAAGCAUGGGAAAGUGGCUGGCAGAUCAGUUGUGGUGGUGGCAGUGGUUCAACCUGAGUUACCCACAGUUGGAAGGAUGUGCUGUGGCCUUUGGGAGAGAGGUUGGAGAAAACCAAUUAGCCCCUCACCAAGUGUUUAACAGUUGGCGAAAGAGCUGUGUUGGAAUGUUGGCUCUACUUCUGCUUAGCUGUGUGCUUGGCAGUGUUAUCCUCUCUGAAGCUGUUUCCAUACAAUAGGAAGAAAGAAUGCCUCUGCUAACCACAAGGCUGGUUCAAAGGCUUAGUUAUGGUUGGUGAUAGAUACUAAAUUCUAAGAUGUGCAUAUGUAAAACAUGAAGCAACUGUAAAAACCCAGCUAAUUAUGAGGCAGGAGGCAGAUGCACCCCCCUCCCCUGCCAGGGUAAAGCAAUUGGAGAUUCAUUCCCUAUUGACUGAAACUCCCAAGAUGAGAGCAGCUCGAUGAUUAAGGGAGGAGGCUGGGCCUUGCCCAGACCAUAUACUUCUUGUUCACAAAGUCAGAAGACUUCCCCGGACCACACGUGCACAGAAAGGCUCCUUGCAAGCCAAGGGGGUUACAAUGUCAAGGGAUGCUCUGCCCGAAUGCCUUUGUGGUAGGAUCCAUCUUGGCUAAGAGAUGUGUACACACAAAAGGAUCCUGAGAUAUACCAGAUAGGGACUGUGAAUGAGGCAAAUCAAAAUGAUUGGCCAAGGGAGAAUUGUAAGAAAUACCCCGUAUAAGUGAUUUAAGCUGCCAUGAGGGCGCAACUCAGGGGCUCGCCAUUUGAGUCUGCCUGUGUGUCUAUCCACUGGUACUGUACUCUUUUUCCUCCUAAUAACUACUUCAUUUGCUUCACUGCUUUCUUUGUGGAAAUUCCUUUCUGCAAAGCCUCAGGGCCAGAGCCCUUGUCACUGACCACUGAUCUAGUGGCUAGGUUAGGUGCUUGCACUGCUGCGACCCAGCCUUGACCUCUGGCUGGGAACCCAAGCCCUGCUUCAAGCCAUUGCAGGCCGAGGCCACCCAAAAGCAGUUAGAAGUUGGAAAAAAAAUUUUAUUCAUCAGUAGGAGAAGGUGUUUUAGAUGUUUUAGCAUGUCCUGUAUAAAAGAUUUCUAGAUGGUGAAGAUAGUGAGCACAUUUAUGGGUGGAAGAUUUAGUUUUUCCAUGUCCAUUGUUAAAGCCGAUCUCUCUGGCUGACCUCUCCUCACACCCUCUGCCUUGGUCUUUCAUUGAGUUUCACUUUCCUACUCCUGCUCUUUGUUGAUGCCUUAAAUACUUGGAGCUAAAGUCAGCUCUCUUUAUAUCUCACUUUAGGAUGGGAAUGAAAAACAGUUCACCACAGAGAAAGCUCUCAUGUUUUCAAAGCAGCAAGCACAGUAACACAGUUCAGUUCACUUCAGUUGAGUCCAACUCUUUGCAGCCCCAUGGAUUG